rnacentral:tRNA from 1 species
CCUGGUGGCUCAGAGGUAAAAGCGUCUGCCUGGAAUGCAGGAGACCCGGGUUUGAUCCCUGCAUCAGGA